GCCGGGACAGCGGCAAGGCAUCUGAGCCUGGACGCGCAGGAGCCGCUCGCCAGCACGAGGAGCGAAAUUGUAAACACGUUGUGGAGUUACUUCUCCAUUCCCAUAAACAUUUCUCGGUUUAUUUCCCAUGCAUGUCGUGGUGCAGUCCCUUUAUGAGCGGUGCAGAAUAACAGCAUAAGCCUCACUCCCCAUCUCAGAAAAUUCUGCUUCCAUUCUUCCAGAACUCUACGUUUCCCCACCAUAUGGGAGUUCCCAACUGUGAAACAAGCCCAGAGCCACCCUGGUGCCCCAUCCACGUUCCCAUGGAGGCCUGUGGUGACACUGGGGACGCGGCAGAGCACGAGGCCACGAGUGCCAGCCCCGGGCUGCAGCUGGUGGCACUGGGGCAGAGCAGCCUCCACUCAGCACCAGCCAAGACAGGAGAAGGGCAGCAGCACCACAGACAUCAGGGAGGCUCUGCUGUGGCCACCUGAGGGGCAGGAGGAGAGGCCUGGCCAAGGUGGACGCAGUGACGCUGCAAUAGAGCAUACGAGGAGUGUGCUUUGUGGUAGUAUUUAUUUAGGAACCGUGAGUAACUACAGCCGUAGCGGUCUCAUCUUUGCAAUUCUGAUGGUUUAACAAACAGGGAGAACAUUAGCAUAUUUUUAUUAAGGUAUAAAAUACACCCCGUUGCCUAAAACAUUAAAAAAAAAAAAAGUGAGGAAAACUCUGUAUGCUCUAAAUCAGAUUCAAAACCUUUCUGUAUAAGGAGUUGUGGCAAUACUGUGUUUAGUAUAACAAGAGGUUUUUAUCAAUUGAAAAGAAAGACAUGCUGGCAAUCUGAACUUAGCAACAAAGAGUAAAGCAGUUACAAACCGUUGUGUCACCCACAUUAGUUGAGCUUUGAAUGCAGAAGAGCAAAUCAUAUGAAACAUACACAACUAGGUAAUACCAAACAACCUAAGGUUGGUAAUGUACACACCUGUAUUAAAGUACACUGACUACUUAAUGGUGAGGAUUUAAGGUAAUGUCUUUUUUUUUUUAGAAGAGGUAACCUUUGAAAUGCAAAUGGUUGCACUUUGCACACAAAAAGUGGAAAAGAAAAAGAAUCACUUUUGGAAUGAUACAUAGGUAUAAGACACACUGGUUUUGGAUUAUGCAUAAUCACCUUGCAGCCCCUGAUAUUACCUCUGAACAACAAAAAAAAAAUUAAAAAGUGCCAAUACUGUGAAAGGAAAGCAAAGUUACUAAGUCUGAGUGCGUUAACCAUUUCUGAGAAAAAAAUGGGGUUUGGAUUUUUUUUGUUUUUUUCUGCGUUUUUAAAAAACGCAACAGCCUUACUGGUGCAGGUUCAAGACAAAAACAAGACAGUCAAGCUCAUAAGGUAGAAAUAGGUCCUAUAUAGGUUAAGAUUCUUUGGAAAUUGCUAAGAAUAGAGGAGUUUGUAAUCCAGGCUACUAUCUUUUUGGCUACUCAAAAAAUCUGUGGGAGUUUCCAGCUUAUCAUCAGUUGAAAUCUGUUUUGCAAUUGCCAAAUAAAUGCAAGUAAAACUUUAACUAACCUGGAAUUCCAUUCACAGACAUGCACAGAGAAAUCACCGAUUGUGCAAUAACCUGUUUUUUCACAGCAGCAUAUAUAUGAAUCGUAAGUCUUUAUCAGACUGACCAGAAACACAGAAAAUAUUCUCAGUCUUUGUGUUUUCAGUCUGUUUCUUAAGUAGGCAGCUACAACUGCACUGAAGUGACAGGCUCCAUAAAGGAAAGAUGACAAAGUGGGAUCAGCUGGCUAAAAGCAAGAUCAGGAGUAUCUCAGGAAGCCACCUGGAUGUUUAAUGCUUGCCAGAAAUACAAGGGCACUAACAGCUCACUGUCAGAGGCAGUGAAAAUGUUUGAAGUUUGGUCUGUGAGACUCUGCUUAAAGGAAACAAGAAAUGAACCAUGCUAACAUACAAAUUGCAAUGCUGGCUGUGUCAAACCUUCCCUUAGAGAAGAUGCAGCUCAGCCUAUUCCUCAGCACUGGAGAGAUUCACUGCAUGUCUGGCCAACAAUUCCUUUAAAGUAGAUCUUGAGGAGCCAACUUAGCUGCGGUUUUGGCUGAGAAAAGUGAUGGCAAAGAGCAAUGAGCUCAGUAAAUAGACUAUUUUUCUUUAAGAUGUUCAGAAUAUAACUUAGUUUCCAUACAUGUGAUUUUAAAAGUAGCUUGGGCAACUUAGUUGAUGGCUUGCUUAAAGUCAAUCCAAUCAUGCUAGCAACUUAAAAAGCCUGCUGGUUGGAAAUAAUGCCCAUACAUAAAGCUAACAGGUAUCAACUGAUCAUGCUGAAAAACAACCCCCCAAAGACCUACGUUUCACACAAGGUGCUUUUGAUAACUUGGUUUUCUGAGCCUUAUAAG